AGGACGAACGCUGGCGGCGUGCUUAACACAUGCAAGUCGAGCGGAAAGGCCCUUCGGGGUACUCGAGCGGCGAACGGGUGAGUAACACGUGAGUAAUCUGCCCCUAGCUCUGGGAUAGCUCCGGGAAAACCGGGAUUAAUACCAGAUACGACCACUUUAGACAUCUUCUGUGGUGGAAAGAACUUCGGCUAGGGAUGAACUCGCGGCCUAUCAGCUUGUUGGUGAGGUAACGGCUCACCAAGGCGACGACGGGUAGCCGGCCUGAGAGGGCGACCGGCCACACUGGGACUGAGACACGGCCCAGACUCCUACGGGAGGCAGCAGUGGGGAAUAUUGCGCAAUGGGCGAAAGCCUGACGCAGCGACGCCGCGUGGGGGAUGAAGGCCUUCGGGUUGUAACCCCGUUUCAGCAGGGACGAAGCGAAGUGACGGUACCUGCAGAGAAGCGCCGGCUAACGUACGUGCCAGCAGCCGC
rnacentral:rRNA from 1 species